UGAAACCGUGUGCUUACAAGUAGUCAGAGCCCGUUAAUGGGUGAUGGCGUGCCUUUUGUAGAAUGAACCGGCGAGUUACGAUUUGAUGCAAGGUUAAGCAGUAAAUGUGGAGCCGUAGCGAAAGCGAGUCUGAAUAGGGCGUUUAGUAUUUGGUCGUAGACCCGAAACCAGGUGAUCUACCCUUGGUCAGGUUGAAGUUCAGGUAACACUGAAUGGAGGACCGAACCGACUUACGUUGAAAAGUGAGCGGAUGAACUGAGGGUAGCGGAGAAAUUCCAAUCGAACCUGGAGAUAGCUGGUUCUCUCCGAAAUAGCUUUAGGGCUAGCCUCAAGUGAUGAUUAUUGGAGGUAGAGCACUGUUUGGACGAGGGGCCCCUCUCGGGUUACCGAAUUCAGACAAACUCCGAAUGCCAAUUAAUUUAACUUGGGAGUCAGAACAUGGGUGAUAAGGUCCGUGUUCGAAAGGGAAACAGCCCAGACCACCAGCUAAGGUCCCAAAAUAUAUGUUAAGUGGAAAAGGAUGUGGCGUUGCCCAGACAACUAGGAUGUUGGCUUAGAAGCAGCCAUCAUUUAAAGAGUGCGUAAUAGCUCACUAGUCGAGUGACACUGCGCCGAAAAUGUACCGGGGCUAAACAUAUUACCGAAGCUGUGGAUUGUCCUUUGGACAAUGGUAGGAGAGCGUUCUAAGGGCGUUGAAGCAUGAUCGUAAGGACAUGUGGAGCGCUUAGAAGUGAGAAUGCCGGUGUGAGUAGCGAAAGACGGGUGAGAAUCCCGUCCACCGAUUGACUAAGGUUUCCAGAGGAAGGCUCGUCCGCUCUGGGUUAGUCGGGUCCUAAGCUGAGGCCGACAGGCGUAGGCGAUGGAUAACAGGUUGAUAUUCCUGUACCACCUAUAAUCGUUUUAAUCGAUGGGGGGACGCAGUAGGAUAGGCGAAGCGUGCGAUUGGAUUGCACGUCUAAGCAGUAAGGCUGAGUAUUAGGCAAAUCCGGUACUCGUUAAGGCUGAGCUGUGAUGGGGAGAAGACAUUGUGUCUUCGAGUCGUUGAUUUCACACUGCCGAGAAAAGCCUCUAGAUAGAAAAUAGGUGCCCGUACCGCAAACCGACACAGGUAGUCAAGAUGAGAAUUCUAAGGUGAGCGAGCGAACUCUCGUUAAGGAACUCGGCAAAAUGACCCCGUAACUUCGGGAGAAGGGGUGCUCUUUAGGGUUAACGCCCAGAAGAGCCGCAGUGAAUAGGCCCAAGCGACUGUUUAUCAAAAACACAGGUCUCUGCUAAACCGUAAGGUGAUGUAUAGGGGCUGACGCCUGCCCGGUGCUGGAAGGUUAAGAGGAGUGGUUAGCUUCUGCGAAGCUACGAAUCGAAGCCCCAGUAAACGGCGGCCGUAACUAUAACGGUCCUAAGGUAGCGAAAUUCCUUGUCGGGUAAGUUCCGACCCGCACGAAAGGCGUAACGAUUUGGGCACUGUCUCAACGAGAGACUCGGUGAAAUCAUAGUACCUGUGAAGAUGCAGGUUACCCGCGACAGGACGGAAAGACCCCGUGGAGCUUUACUGUAGCCUGAUAUUGAAAUUCGGCACAGCUUGUACAGGAUAGGUAGGAGCCUUUGAAACGUGAGCGCUAGCUUACGUGGAGGCGCUGGUGGGAUACUACCCUAGCUGUGUUGGCUUUCUAACCCGCACCACUUAUCGUGGUGGGAGA
rnacentral:rRNA from 1 species